ensembl:misc_RNA Metazoa_SRP Metazoan signal recognition particle RNA
ACCGGGCACAGUGGCUUGUGCUUGUAAUCCCUGCUCCUGGGAAGGCUGAGGCUGGUGGAUCACUUGGGCUCAGGAGAUCUGGGCUGCAGUGCGCUAUGCCGGUCGGGUGUCCGCACUAAGUUCACCAUCAACAUGGUGAUCCCUGGGGAGUUUGGGGUCCCCAACUUGCCUAAGGAGGAGUGAACUGGCCCAGGCUGGAAACAGAGCAGGACAAAGCUCCCGUGCUGAUCGGUAGUGCGAUCGCACCAGCUGCUGUAGUGUAGCCUGGGCAAGCCAGUGAGACACAGUCUCCU